rnacentral:rRNA from 1 species
AACGAACGCUGGCGGCAUGCCUAACACAUGCAAGUCGAACGAGACCUUCGGGUCUAGUGGCGCACGGGUGCGUAACGCGUGGGAACCUGCCCUUAGGUUCGGCAUAACUCCCCGAAAGGGGUGCUAAUACCGGAUAAUGUCUUCGGACCAAAGAUUUAUCGCCUUUGGAUGGGCCCGCGUUGGAUUAGCUAGUUGGUAGGGUAAAAGCCUACCACGGCGACAAUCCAUAGCUGGUCUGAGAGGAUGAUCAGCCACACUGGGACUGAGACACGGCCCAGACUCCUACGGGAGGCAGCAGUGGGGAAUAUUGCACAAUGGGCGAAAGCAUGAUCCAGCAAGGCCGCGUGAGUGAUGAAGGCCGUAGGGUUGUAAAGCUCUUUUAACCGGGAUGAUAAUGACAGUACCGGGAGAAUAAGCUCCGGCUAACUCCGUG